rnacentral:lncRNA from 1 species
UGAUGUGGUCUAUAAGUCUCCAUAUGAUCUGUAACUUUAUAGUUGAUAACUCUUUCAUUUGAGAUUAUUUAGGGGCAUAAAUAUUUAUUUUUAUUUAUCUAGAUAUUAAAUUCAAAAUUAUGAAUUUUCUAAACAAUCUCGGUUGGAUGCACGCAUUGAACCAAAUUUGUAGGGCUUGAAGACGUGUAAAAGUUUCUAUUUGAUUUUUUAUUUGAGAUCAUUUAGGCAUGUGAGAAAACAACGAUCGAAAUGACUCUGAACUAUCGAAAUCACUUUCCGCAUCUACUUGGCGCAUGUGAGAUCUCUUGAUGUUUUAAUAUGGCAUGAGAAAAAAAAUAAGGACAUGUGAGAUCUACUAUUGGGUAAUUUUCCUAUUUCAAAAGUCAAUAUAGGCUUGAGAAUGUACUUUAACACAAUUGCUAGAAUUGAGUCACC